ACGCUGGCGGCGUGCCUAACACAUGCAAGUCGAGCGAAGAUUAUAGCAAUGUAAUCUUAGCGGCGGACGGGUGAGUAACGCGUGGGCAACCUACCUCAAACUGGGGGAUAACACAGGGAAACUUGUGCUAAUACCGCAUAACAUCAUGAAAUGACAUCAUUUUUAUGAUCAAAGGAGCAAUCCGGUAAGAGAUGGGCCCGCGUCCAAUUAGCUAGUUGGUGGUGUAACGGACCACCAAGGCGACGAUUGGUAGCCGAACUGAGAGGUUGAUCGGCCACAUUGGGACUGAGACACGGCCCAGACUCCUACGGGAGGCAGCAGUGGGGAAUAUUGCGCAAUGGGGGAAACCCUGAACCGCAGCAACGCCGCGUGAAGGAUGAAGGUUUUCGGAUCGUAAACUUCUUUGAUGAGGGACGAAAGCAAUGACGGUACCUCAAAAACAAGCCACGGCUAACUACGUGCCAGCCGCCGC
rnacentral:rRNA from 1 species